GUAUGGUGGAAGCAUGCCUCAGACCUAUAUUUAUCCGGUUCACCCCUACCAGGACCCUUCUUGCUCCAUCAUGUAGUUACCAAACAGGCUAGCCAGAAGCAGAGAGAGAGAGAGACUGAAGUCGAGUCUGUUUAUUUAUAUAUAUUGUAGAACAUGUUGGGCCGCUGCUGUUCCAUGUCUGAAAGGGGGGGAGAUGGUGAGGGAAAUCGGGAUUACAUAUGCACGUGCCACGUGUAAACAAGCUUCUUUGCCUGUAUCAACUUUUCAUUUAACAGGAGUGACAAAUCUGGAUGUUGGAAAAACAUGGUGAUUCAGUCGUUAUUCAACACAAUAAUAUCAACUUCUGAACCAACUCGAGCACCAUAUUGGCGCAUCUUCUCCCCUUUUUCUUUUCUUUUUUUGGUAUCAAAGGCACAUCCUGUCCAGUGAACAAUUAACAAUUAUUAACAAAAACAGAACUCUAAACGGUAUGGAAACAUACUACGUGGAUGCUGUAGAUAAAGGGGGGUUUUAGAAUAUGUAAAUAAAUUGUUUUAUCUUUUUUAAAAAAUAUAUUAAGAUAUUAUUUUUAUUUUAAAAAAUUUAUUUUUAACAUUAAUAUAUCAAAAUAAUUCAAAAAUAAAAAAAUUUAAAUUUCAAAAAAAAAAUUCAUAACCUGUGAAAUCACGGUUUUGAAAAGAUAAACGAUACCUAAGACUUGCCAUAAUAUAUGGCAUAAUAUGAGCCUGUUUAGGAGUGUUGUUAUUAUUUUUUAAAUUUUUACUUAGAAAUAUAUCAAAAUAAUAUUUUUUUUAUUUUUUAAAAAUUAUUUUUUUUAUCAGGGCAUCAAAAAAUAAUAUAAAAAUAUUAAAAAAUAUUAAUUUAAAGUAAAAAAAUUAAAAAUUUUUAAAUUAUUUUAAAAAUACUUUAAAAACGCUAAAACAGAUAGAUUUACAUCCAAAUACCUUAUCUUUCAAGGCUAUGGGAUGAUUCUGAUUUUUUUUGAGAACGUGAUAUAAAUUGUGUUUUUUUAAUUUUAAUUAUUUUAUUUUUAUUAAAAAUUAAGUUUUUUUAAAUUUUUUUAUAUUAUUUUAAAGUGAUGAUAUUAAAAAUAUUUUUUUAAAUAAAAUGUUUUUUAAUAUAUUUUUAAAUAAAAAAAACUUUAAACGAAAAUAAUUACUUAACAUUUCAAUCAAUCCAGCGUUCAGUGUGGUUCCGUCACUUUCUCUUUUUUCGGCUGGUUUUGCUUUUCUUAAUGGUGCGGCUUUCCAUUGCUCUCAUCGCGCCUUGGGUUGUUGGCGCUUCCUUUUGAACCUUGGAGGGCUGGGUUUUUUGGGUGUUGUGUGCUCAGCUUCUUGUGCACUGGCUGUGAUGGGAUUCGGCGGCGGCUUGAGGUUGCCGGGCAGGCUUUGGCAUGGUUGGGGGUGGGGUUAUUUUAUUCCGGUCGUGUCUGUUGCCUCAGAGAAAACGACCCGGGGUCAUGAUCAUGCAUUGAAUGCAAUGCCCACUUGGCUGGGCCCUUCGCUCUUCAACAUUGGAACUUGGAAGAGCUGCUGAUUAUUGGGUUUGAUUGGACGUCUGUUUGAUCUAGACUGUUGACUGGGGAAUUCCAGUUCCAGGUCUUUUUUUUUUUUUUUGUGCUCACAAGCUGUUUGGUCGAUGACAAGUUUGUGAUUUUCAACACUCUUCUGGUUUGGUUAGUUUUUUAGCUUUUUUUUUUUUUUUUCUGGUAACCGGGGUGUUCGGGCCAGCUUGCACGCACCACAACUAAUUUCCGGGCUCACUGAACAUCCUGCAAGUCUAAUGAGCAUGUAAGGUACCGCGAGGAUGACAAACAUACACAUAGAGGAUAAAAAAGGAUGGGGGCGGAACAAGUCACACGAUUGACCACAAUAGCUGGACCCUCAAGCGUGUUUUUUUUUUUUUUUUUUAUCAUUUUAGUUGGCCUUUACUUGCCCUUUUAUCAUUUCAGGUUCUGUUUCAUUGUUUUUUUUUUUUUUUUUUAUGUUAUAUCAUGCUAGUGCUGUCCUAGGGCUUCCCAUGCUUUCACAUCCUCUCUCUCUCUUUUUUUUGUUGGCUUGGGUCGCGUAGGUAGGUUCAUUUGCUUCUCCUUUUUAUCCUCUUUCAUGCCUCCCUCCUAGGUCUGGCUCAUUGGUUUUUCUGUUCAUUCUAUUUCUCUGUCAUUGUUCCUGCUGGUGCUUCUUUUUGCCCAUUUUUUGUUGCUUUCUUUUCGUUAUCUUUUGUUUCCUUGUUCUUUUAUGCUGGUUUCUUCGAGACCAUCUUGCUGGUUUUUAAAUGGAUUUGAUUGGAUAUAUAUGCAGGUUUGUGUGGUCUUCAUGCUGUCUCUGACGGACUGCUCUCCUUCUGGUUUGCUGUUCCUGCGUGUCUGAUCUCCUUAUAGGUUCGUCUUCACCUCGUCGCCUGUUUGUCGGUUCUUAUAAGUUCUUCGAACAUCCUUUUUCCGUGGCAUUAUGGGUGUUUAUUGAUUGCUGCUUUGAGGACAGUGCAUCCUUAUCAGGAUUUGUGCACUGUGCUCCUUUUAAAACGUGUUAAGUAUUGUAGCAGUCUACUGUAAUUGUGAUUUGAAAAAAAAAAUUUAUAAAAUAUUAUUUUUAAUUAAGAUUAAUUUAGAAAAAUAUAUAUUUUGUUAAAAUAUGGUUGAAAUUAAGAUUGAACAAAAAGUAGUUUAAUGUGAUUUGUUAAGAAUGCUUUUAAAAUUAAUGUUAUAAAAUAAUUUUUAAAAAUAUAUAUUAAUAUUGAUGAUUUUUAAUUUAAAUAUUAUCGAUUUAACUAUUGCUAUUACAUUAUAAAAUAAAUAAUAUUUUAUAUAAAAUAUUAUUUAUUCUUCCAUUAAACUAUUUACAAUUCUAUCACGUAUAAAAUACAUCCGACAAGGAUUAUAGUUUUCACAAAUUUUUUAAGACCGCAAUAACAUCAAGUAAAAUAUAAUUAGGAACAAAAUUGAGAUUGCGAUUAAAUUCUACAAACGCUACGUGAUCAACUAAUUUCUGUCUAAUUUAUAUAGUGUCAUUGAAUAAUAUUUAAAACUAGUUUUUUUGAAUAAAACAUAAUUAAACUAGAUUUUUAAAAAAUAUUUUUUUAUUAUUUUGUUGGGUCGAACCCGGUUUAAUGUAUUUUUAACUUUGAACCGGACUGGUUUAACCAGAAUAAUGGACAUGCUCCACAGUUCAUGGGUUUUCUCGGCACAAGAAGUAACAAACAGCUGUUUCUUGUAAACAUUUGGCACAGCCACAGUUGGUAGUGGGCUCUACCAGUAAAAAAUUGCUUUUAAAGCAUUAUCAAAUAACAAUAUUUGUGGUUGUGAGAAACCUCACCUGCAAUUAUAAUACUAAACUGCUUGUAAUAAGACCAGGUCAAGUUAUGAAUAAUUUAAUAUUUUAGUAAGUAUAAAAAAAUAUGUUUUAAAAAAAUAUUUAACGCGUGUUUAUUGGUGAUUCCAAACGCUUCUAAUAGCAAGUGCAGGGUUGUCCAGUGUCCGAAUUAAUAAUAUUUUUCAACGACUUUAGCAUGCCAAACAUUCAAUACAAUACACAACGUAUAAUUAAAUAUUGGAUUUAUUUGUAAAUAUAUUAAACUAAUAUUUUUUAAAUUUUAUUUUUAAUAUUAAUAUAUUAAAAUAAUUUAAAAUUUUAUGAAAUGAUGGUGUCCGGCUGUCUGCCUCCACAGACGCACAUUGAAUAUCCUUGCUUGGAUUUAUUUUUCUAUUUAAAUAUUCUUAAGUAUCUAUUCAACAAUAUUUUAAAUUAUUAGCUAACGUGUGUUAGUCAAGUAAGCAGCAGCAAAAUCUGGUUUGAUUCUAGAGCAUUUAUCUCCAAGAGCUUUUAAAAAUUUUAAAAUUUUAAAAAAAUUAUAUUUUUAUUUAUUUCAAAUUAAUAUAUUUUGUCAUGGGCAUAUAAAUCCUUUGCUACAUUUUUAUCCUUCUCCCGCAACCCUUCCCCGUCUGGAUUAUUUUCUUCUGCCUUUUUCCCCAGCCUGUGCUCUUGUUGAAAAUGCAAACUUGCAUUCUCAAGGUACAUAUCUACAAAUAGCAGUGAGCAAUGCAGUUCAGAGCAGCUUUUUCCGUCAAUGCCUUUUCCACCUGAGGGGAUGUGUUCUGCAAGUGCGAGAAAGAUACUCUUUUUUGCUCCUGAUAAUGGUGAGCUUACUGGCAGUGGCACUAAUCUGAAAUAUCCACGGCGACUGUACCGGCACAUUAAUCCUGAAAAGGAAAAGAGCCUCCGGUGUUGAAAUGUUUCGAAGGAAAGCUGCCUUCCCUCACAAAAUAGAUGAACAGUCCUUCAAGAGAUUUACACAGAUUCCUAGAACUGAUAGCUGUGUAGAAAGUUUGCAAGCAGACCACACCAAAACAAAGCUUGCGGUGUGGAUGUCAAAAUCAAUUCAUGCCGAGGAAGAUUUCAAGGAUACACCUGAAACACUGCUCCUAAUUCUCCCUGGGAAGGCAGGAAAAAAGACAGAUCAAGAAAUUUGUUGAUAACUGACGGUGUUUGUGUGGUUAUGAUUGUGUUUGGAAGUGGUUUUUAUCAAUAAAUGCAUUGAAAUAAUAUUUUUUUAUUAUUUUUUAAAAAUUAUUUUUGACAUCACCACACCAAAAUAAUCUAAAACACAAAAAUUUAUAUAUUAAUUUAAAGCAAAGAAAAAAAUUAAAAAUAUUAUUUAAAAAAAAAUACUUUUAAAACGCAUAAACAAACAGGAUCUUUAAUAGUAUAAGCCCCGGUAUAGCUCAUAGUUAUUAGACUCGACCUGGGGAUUGAUCCGGCCAAGAAUCCAGAUCUUGGGCGACACAAGUCAAACUGAAUCAACCCGAAUGUUUUUUUUUUUUUUAAAUUAAGUUUUAAUAUUUCAUGUGAAAAAAUUAAAAAACAGUUCAUGUAAAUAUAAACUAUAUAUAUUAUAGACAAUGAAAUUUAAAAUAUUAUUUUAAAAGAUUUUUUUAUCGCACAUUAAAAAAAUAUUAUGUUAGUAUGUUGUCAUUUUAAGUUGAAUUAUUUAAACCAAAAAGAUUUUUUUAUCCUAUAUUAAAAAAAACACAACUUUUUUCUUAUGAACAUAAAAUAUGUAUACUAAAUGGUUUUAAAUUUCACAUUGAAAAAAUAAUUUUUUUUCUUGUAAACAUAGAAUUUAUAUACCAAAGGGUUUCAAAUCUUAUAUUAAAAAAAAUAAAACAUUCAUCUAGUAUUUAUGUAAUGAACUUAAAAAAAAGUCAAUAACCACCUCUAUAUAUAUAUAUAUAUAUAUAUAUAUAUAAAAGAUGGGUUUUUAGUAAGGAUAAAAAACACAUUUGCAAAAAAAAAAUAACAACUAGGUUUUACUAUAUCGCUGGGGUCAAGAGUCAAUUAAUUUUUUACCUAAGUGUUUAUUUAAUUUCACCGAUUCAACCAUUAAAUUUUAGAUUCACCCAGCAGCUUAAGUCGGAUAUAAUAACUAUAGUUUAGCCGUUGUACGGGGACUAUUUCAUAUUUGACUUGAUGCCCUGCGACCUAUUGAAUGAUGCAUUUGAUAGCUAGCAUGAAUAUUUUUAUAAACAAAAACAUAUUAAAUUAAUAAAUUUUUUAUACAUAAUUUUAAUACAUUAAAAAUAAAAAUAAUCUAAAAACUAUUUUAAUAUAUUUUUAAGUAAAAAAUAUUUUUUUAAUAUAUUGUGUUUAUAAAUAUUUAAAGUAGAUAAAUAAUACUUGUUUAAAUUUUAUUGUUAGUGUCCAGUAAGGACUUUCGCACAAUGUAAAUAGUUUAAUAAAUAUAUUUUAUUUAUAUUAAGUAAUUUAUAGCCCUUUUCACUGGAAUUUAUAGAAACAAAAGAUGUGUUAUUUGCUAAUUUUUUAAAGAAAAAUAGAAUGGGUCUUCCUUGUAUUUAAAAAAAUAUUAAUAAAAAACAAAAUAUGCUUGGGUGUGCGGGUUGGGCUAGAAGGCCUACGCUACUAAACUAUUUUUGUUUUGAUGCUUGGGCUUAAGCAACUCAGGCUUUUUUAUUUUUAUUUUUAUUUUGUAUUUUGUUUUUCAAAAAAAUGAUAAAACAAAUCAUUGAACAUGAUUGAUUUUAUUAUUUGAUAACGAGUUUAACAGGUUAAUCCAUAAUAUUUGAAUUACGGUUUGUGUUUUUUGUUUAAUACCUUAUCUUUCCAUGAUUGUUAUUUUUUUAAAAUAUAAUUUCAUUUUUUUAUCAUUAGUUGUCUAUUUUUUUUUUUAAUUGAACCUAAAAGAAUAUAAUUCAACUCUUUGCUAUCAAUAAUUUACCUUUGUUAUCUCGGCUCCAGGUGCAUAUUACCUUUUUUUUUACUUUUAGAAAAAAUGUUGUUUUAUAAAAAAAAAAUAUAAUGUGUUUUACUAUUGUAUUAUUAAAUAAAAAAUAAUUUUUAAGAUAAAAAUUUAGUGAAUCUAAUAAUGUACAUGAUUGGCAUUGUGAGUGUACUUAGUUUUUUUUAUAAUUAAAUUUUUUUUUAUUAAUUUUAUUGUUUAAUAUUGAAUUAAUCAGUGAUUGAGUUUUUUAUUUAAUAUUUUUUAAAAUUUCACAGAUUUGCCUAUAUUAUUCUAAAUAGAUCAAAUAUUUUUUUUCUUGAUAUUAAAUAAAAAUAUCGUUUAAUUUAUAGUUAAAAUUUAUAUUUUUCAGAAGACACGUCACUAGUGUUUUUUUUUUAACACUUAUUUUUUCCUCACUUGUGCUUUAUCACGGCCAGUAGACUAGUAAAUUCUACACAAUCAAUAAAUUCAAUAAUCAAUUUUUUUAAAAAAUAUAAAAUAUAUUUUUGUUAUUUUUAACAUAUAUGAUAAAAUCAUGCAUAUUUAUUUAUAGAUUUAGAGUAAAAAAAAAUGACAGCAAGUCAGAGAAAGAAACAUCGAUUUCGAUGCCUAAAAAAAGGUGCAGAAUAAAUAAAUGGAGUAGAGUACUUGCCAAGGACAGCAUGUGAUGUUAGAAUACAGUUAACAUCAGAAACGAAGCACUUUUGUCGAAGAAAAUGGUGAGCUCAUGUGUGAAGAGUUUCAGUGAAAGCUUCACUUCAAUGGACUUCUGUUCUUCUUUGCUAACUGCGCGCUUAUCUUCUUCACUAAUAAAACCUCAAUUAUUAACUAGCAGCUUAAUCUCUAGUAGCAUCACCAUUAAUUUCGCAAGCAAGAAGUGUAAACCUCAUCGUGUCUUGAAAGUCUCUGCAGGUUCUUUUUCUUACCACAAGUUCAUUCAUUUUGCUCUCGAUGAAACCAAACGACACGCCCUUUUGGUCCCUUCUCCUCUCCAGGUAUUACUUCACUUUCUUCCUUGCUGUGUUUAUGGAUUCCAUUGCCUGGAAGCAGAAAUGGGUUGCCUUUGAAUUGAGCCCUUCUCCUCAGUUUUUUUUUUAAAUCCUCAGUUUUGGGUUUCAGAGGGUUGAAAAUGAAGCUGGGUUUUGGGUUUUGAAUUAUAUAGGAGAUUUUGGCAACUUUUUUGGUCUGUAACUUGGGAAUUGAGGUGACUGAUCCAUGGAAAUGUUUCUGUGAUUUGUCAUGGUUUGGGCCAUUUGAUCCUUCAAAGUCUAUGUUAAUCCUUUUUUAUAUGGAUAAUCUUCUUAUCGUUCUUACGCCGUACUUUUUAGUAAGAUUGCGUUUUCGUCGUUUCGUUUGUUCGGUCUCCAAGGGCCUAGACACUCUUCCUUUUCUUUUCUUUUUUUACUUUUAAACUUAAUUCCUCUUUUAUUUUAUGCAUCUGCGAAUUUUGUUUAAAAAACGCGGGUUAAACUUGAGCAAGGGAUGGAACGUCUUUCUUCAGCAACUUUUAGCAGAGUUGAUGCUUCAUAUCUAAGCCAAAAGAUUCCGUUUUGAUUUGCUUGCAUAUUUUGGCUAUUGUACUCGUUGUUGGUCGUUGUGCAAAUAUGGACUUUGAUGGUUGUAAUGUUGAAAAUAGUUUCUCAUUCGCUCUCCAAUUUGCCAUCAAGGGUUAUACAGCAUCAGGACACCAGUACAGACUAGAUUACCCUAGAGUCAAGAACCCUUUGUUAUUUCAGUACUAUGUUUCAGAUGACUGUGCCUUCUAGCUUCUGCAGAAGGAAAAACAACAUGUGGUUGUUCUGUUAUUGAUUGCUCACUGCUCAUUGCAAACUGAAUUUCAACAAAACAAAACAAAAUAAAUUCUUUGUGCUUCUAUGAAACGAACUCUUUGGCAGCUGAAAAACAAUCAAUUAUUUUAAAUGUUAAUUUCAUGAUUACAUACAUGGAUCACAAGAACAACUUUUUUGAGUCUAGGAAAAAUAUAGUUCCAUGACUGCGAUGGAUGGAACAACAGAGCUUCAAAUGCUUUCAUUCCAAGCUCCCAAAAUCAGACUCCUACGUAGUUUGAGCAUUGAAAAUGAAGCAAUGCAGGUACCAUUCUCUAGCAAGCUUGUUGCUUUUAUGUACUUUUGCACCCUCAAGUGUUAGAGGGAAAAACUCAUGAGUGCAUCAUGUUAAUUUGAGUUCUUUGUUGCGAUUAUACAUUUUACAGCUAAGUUACUGAUUGCCAUUAGUUGGACUUUCUUUGUGUUCAUUUGUCUGCCAGCAUAAAAAGUAUCUCCUGUACUUGGCAUGUGUGUUGUUAUUAUAGCUUAAGAAAAUUAUUGAGAUUUUUUGGAAUGCUACUCAUAUUUAUUUAGCUUUAUUCUUCACAAGGAUCAUGGCAACAUGAGUGCAAUAUGCUCUUAUCCUAUUCAUGUCAAAUUCUUAUCCUCCUGUGCAAAAGGUAUCCAGCACGGUUAUAUGCACGUUAUCUAGCACCACAAAAGUUCUUUGGCUUGAUGGAGGCGUAGAACGUUUUUGUUUCCCUCUGUAAUAACUGACCUCUGAAAAUUUAUGCAGAUUUUAGAUUUUGCUGUUUUUGCAAGACCUGAAUUUGAUGUACCCAUAUUUUGUGCCAACUUUUUCUCCACUGCCACCAUAAACAUCAUUGUGUUGUAAGCUCCCUCCUCUUCCUUUCUCUGUGCUUUUCUAAGCCCUGUUUUAUUCUUUAUAUGGAAAAUUGUUUGUGCUUCUGUUUGGAUUUUUGUUUCCCUGUUCAGCUUCCUAUUUUCAUUCUAUUGCUUAGAAUUUCUCUUGAAAAUUUAUCUGUGAAAUCUGAUAUGGAAUAAGAAAAGGAAACGAAGCUCAUCAUUGGAGAUUUAGUGCUCUCUACUGUUUCAGGGACGAUACCGCUUUCUGGUUUGAUUUGCAUGCAUGCCUUCUUUUGUUGGUUUGUUUCAACCAGGAACAAUCGUUUGUCCUUUUUUUUGGCAUCGAACUUGAGAUUUUAUUCCUAUAAGCUGGAAUUAAUUGCUGACGUGCUAAGGUUUCUGGAACUUUUAACCCAUUGUAGGGACCUCAACCCCUUGCACAAUGUCAUUGACCAAAGAGACUACAAGGAAAAGUACUUUAAAAGAUUAAUUCCUUUAGGCCUCAAGUAUAGCAAGGUAACUUCAAUGCCUCUCGUGGAACAUUAAACACAAUGGUAUUUGUUAUUUGUUUCUUGAUCCAGUCUAAAAUUAAUGGUAUGGUGACUGAACACAGAUUUCAUGCAGCUUUUUCCUUGGGGAGGAAAGCUCACGAGCGAGUCCUUGAAGUUUUUCUCACCGAUCGUGAUAUGGACCAAGUUUCCUCCAAGUCAGGAUAGUUAUGAUGCUUUAUAUUCUGCUUUCACAGAGUACUACAAGGUUGCUUAACGGCUUUAGCUUCUGCUUUAAAUUACAUUUAAGCUAAUAUGCUAAUGAUGAGAUAUAAAUUAUAAACUGGAAACGGGAUGAGAAUCCACAUGGAUUUAGUAGUUCAAAUGUCAAAUAAAAUGUAGAAUUCCAAUUUUAGCUGCUCAUUUAUCAUUCUCUUCUCUUUUAGGCAUGGCUUGAACUGAUUGACCAAGCACCAGAGGAGAUAGAUGCAUCUCAUAUUACAUGCAAUCGUGAAGCACAACAUAAGUAUCUAACGUGGAGAGAAGAAAAGGUGAUUAUUUAAUGUCCUUUUCCCCUUUUGAUCUCAUCUUCAUGUGGCCCAUCAUAUCUGCCAGUCUCUUCUCAUUGGCUGUAGGACUUAAUAAAGCUUAGAUGCUUGGAAGUAAUCAUGGCAUGUCUUCAAUUUUCUACUUCUCUUCGUUUGAAAAUGUUUCAAGUAAGUUCUGUGACUGUAAUUUGAGUGCCAAAGAGCUGGGCAGUGAUAAGCCUUUUUAAGCCCUUGCAUUUUAGCUUUAGAGAUUAGAAAUGGUCAUUUGAAUACUAAAAAAUAAAAGGGUCAUAAUUGAGCGAAAUUGCCAUCUCUAGACUAACUGUAUGAGAAAUUUGGUUCCUUGAAGUAAAAUAAAGACAGAAAAAUGCUUGUUUUCUAUAUUAUUUUAAUUAAGUUCGUGAUUCAUUUGGAAUAAAAUGAAUAAAAAAUUGAAACAGAUGCUUUCUGCCUUAAAAAGUUGUCCGAGCAACUAACAUCUUGAAGAGGGAUUUUAGCUUCAAGGCAGGAUGAACUCCAAUUGGUUGCCCAGUUUUAGGAAAGAAAACGCCUGAAAAGUACCUAAACUUGUUAGCAUUAAGGCCCAAUCCAAACCCGUGCUCUUUCUCGGACUCUCAGAACUGACUAGGCAUAUUGGUACCUUCAGAUAGAUGUAUCAUUUAUGUAGUACUGUAAUUCCAUAAUUACAGUAUUUAAGCAGAUAGAUUCUUGGCACAGUUUCAAACUUCUCUCUUUUCUGGUCCAACUGUUUGGCUAAUGCAAAUUCUGGAAGCAGGAUCCUGGCCAUGGAAUUCUUAAAAGGUUGAUUGGAGAAAGGCUUGCAAAGGUAUAAUCACUCUCAACAAAUCUUCUUACAUUGUUUGCCACCAAUUACUGAUGCAAUUCUCACCUCACAUCUAAUCCGUAGGACUUGGUUAGAAACUUCCUCUUCAAUGGACUUGAUGAACUAGGCAGUAAAGGAUUUUUGGAUUACUUUCCAGAAUAUCGCCGCGAGGAUGGUUCUAUAAACGAGAAGCGCAGCAUCAUUGGAAAGUCUUUUGAAAAUCGUCCCUGGGAUGCAAGAGGAGAAUUCAUCGGUGGUAAUGUUGUUGUACCGUCUUAACUAUUAUCCUUCUCUGGUUUUUCCCAUCCCGUGUCUUUAUGAUUCACCAGUUUUCUAAAUUUUCUAAAUUUUAUUUCCUGAGAAAAAUAGAAACCUCCCUUGGUAUAAUAUUUUGUACUCAAGAUACUGUAUUUGUGUAUUUACGAAGUUUGCUGUUUUGUCAGAAAUUUUGCAAAUUAAACGAGAACAAGAUUAAUUUACAAAGAAAAAAAACUUGAAACUUAAUUAUUAGCAAAUUAAACGUUGAAUGAUAAAUUGAAUUUUAAAAAAAAAAAAAUAUGACUAUGUUAAACUUAUGAUCAGUUUGUGAGGUCAAGAAAACCCUACAUAAAAAAAGCUGAAUAAAACAAUGGUGGUUAACUCUAAAAAAAUGAAAAGCCAAAUUAAAAAAAAAAACAUAAAAAAAAACUCUAAAUUGAUUCGGAUUAACUUAACUAACUUGAUAUCUAAGAUAAGAAUAACUGCGUAAAAAAAAAUUAAAAAAUAAAAAACUUGAAGAUCCAUUAAUUUAAUAUCAAAUGAUGAAAUUAAAAAAAAUCUAAAAAAAAAAAACUAAAGUUAAUUCGGGUUAAUUUUCAAAACUCGUGACUCAAUUCACAAGACUAGUCACCAACAUCAAAUUAAAAGUUUAUCCUAACACGCGCCACUCAUGAAUAGAAAGAGGAGAUUCAAAUGUCAUCUGAAAGUUGGUAUUUGACAUUCGAGCACCGCUUGCUCAACCAAAAAUAAGAGGUCACAACCUGAAUAUUAUUGCGUGUAAUGCAUAUCUCAAUUAUUUUUCUAAUAAUAUUUAUAUUUUUUAUAACAUUAAAUUGUCCCUCGAUUUAUGUGAUUAUAAAAAAAUAUAAAUAACCUCAUGAAAGCAAGUUUGGUAACUAGGUAAUUUAGUAAUUUUAUUGUUUUGAAAAAAGUGAGAAGACUGAAGAAUUUUUGGGCUCUAGUUUAAAAAAUUUUACUUUUGUAUAUAAUUAAGUCAUUUUAAUAUAUUAAAAAAAUAAAAAUAUCGAUUUAACCUCGGUCAAUUUUGAUAGUGCCAAAAGAGCUUAGUGAAAAAACCAUUUUUCCCCGUAAUUAAUCCGUUCAUUGGUUUUUUCCAUGGAGAACAAAAACAUUACAUUUUAGUUAUCCGUGGUAUAAUUAGUCUUGAUCAACAGUAAAACACUAGUGCAUCUUGUUGCAUAAAGGGUUUUUUCACUGCCAUUAAAUGUUCAGAUUUUCAUGCGAUCGUUUUGGUACAUUGACUAAUUGAGGCCGAAAGUCUCAAGCAAUCUGGAGGUAGAUAGCAUCCACGCCUAAUACUUGUAGCAUUGAAGAGUUAUAACUUGCAGGUAUAGUGUUUUAAACUGCAGGGGUGACUUGUCAUUUUUUGAUAUUCACGUAAUGCACAGUAUGGUGUCUUCUAAAACAGGACCACCAAAAUAAAUUCAAUAUUGAUUUCGAUUAAAAAACAUUCUUUAAUGUACAUGAACAAAUAACGCCUCGUACUUUUGUUAUGUAUCAAAUACCAACAGCUUCAGUUUCUAAUUCAAAUGAAAAGAAAAAAAAGUUUUGCUCUACUAAUAAGCUGACUACAAAGUCUUGCACAAUAAUUAUCAACUAUCUGCAUGCUGAAGCAUGAAAAAGUAAAAAAAAGAAGACAGAAAAACUGGGGUGAGGAAUUAACAACAAAUCACAAAAACUCUCCUGAGAUGAUUUUCUCUAAGUAAGUGCAGUGACCAAAAGUUAUUCAACUGUCCAUACACUAGCACACUUACUAUCACAGUCACAAGGGAGUUACGAUAUAAAAAGAAAUUCCCUAUACUCUCUUACGAAGAUCCAAAAAAACAGGAUUGUUAGUAGAGAAGCUGGCCAAUGGGACCCAUUUUUAGUAGAUUCUGGAAUUGCUCUUACAUAAUCCUUAAGGUAAAGCUCCCUUCUGACAGCUUUUGCAGAAGCUCGGGCUGUUGAUCCAUAGGAACAACCUCCUGAAUUUUGUCCAUGAAUCCAGACCAGUCACCCAUACCUAGCUGGAAGAUCAUAACAAUGCAAACACUAUGAGAAUCAAAAACAUCCACAUAAAUUUCAGAGGUCAGAACAACAUCAAAGCAAAGGCGUCAAACUGAAAGAAAGCAGGAGAAUACCUAGAAGGCGACUAACAAAAGGUUUAACUUCAAAGACUUCAAACACAUCCAUAUGCAACUUGACCGAUACUGCUAUCCGUAACAAAUAUAACAAGUUCGGGUUUCUGGAAGACACAAAACGAAAAAGGAAUCAGAUUUUACUGCAAUAACAAUCAACAAUUAAUAAUAAAAACAACGAAGCAUGAAACCAAUAAUAAUUAAAGAAUAACAUACCGUUGCUUCAGAAACUUGACGGAUUUCUUCAAAAAGUGCAGCUUCCUGUUUAUGCAGUCCAUGUGAGUGUUAUUGUGAGUUUAUCUGGUUAAUUCGUAUCAAUUUAAAUUUUUUAUUUUUUAUUAUUUUUUAUUAUGUGAUAUUAUAUUUAGCAGGUUAACUCAAAUUAAUUUUAUUUUUUUAUUUAUUUUAUACAUGGUUAUCAUGGUUUUUUAAUCCAGAUUGCAGAUUUAACAGAUUAAUUUAAUAUAUUAUUUUUUAAAAAAAAAGUGUUUUGAAUGUUUGUAAAUAAAUGAUAUUUUUAUUAGUUAUUUAAAUUAUUUUUAAAUUCAUUGAGAUAAUUAUAUCAUAUUGAAUGAACCUUCCUUCACUGUUUUAAACUCAUUUGUUUUAUACACUGGUCUUCAUGCUGUCUCUGAUGGAUUGAUCUCCUUCUAGUUUGUUGUUCCUGCGUGUAUGAUCUUCUUCUAGGUUCGUCUUCUCCUCGUCGCCUGUUUGUCGAUUCUUAUGAGUUCUUGGAACAUCUUUUAUCCGUGGGAUUAUAGGAGGGUUCGAUAUAUUAAGUCAGCUGAUUUGUCCCUUACCCGCUCGUGUUUCUUUUCAGAAAAAGUCACUCGUACACACAGCUUUUUAUAAAAUACGAAGUCCUAAUCAAUGUAACUACUGCUGCCCUCCGCCGUUCAUUUUUCAAGAGUGUUUUUUUUUUCUUUAUUUUUCUACAUCUAUAUUUGUUUUUCUAUAAUUUUUUACUUCAAUAUUUACUUUAAUAAAAAUUAAAUUUCAUAAUUUAUUAUGAUUUGCUUUAUAAAUAAUUAGGUUAAUCUUAUAACCUGCAUGUAUUAUGAAUUUAUCGGGUUAACUCGAUUGAUUAAAAUUUGUUUUGUGUUUUUCUAAUUGAUAUUUUUUUUUACUUAAAAUCUUCUAUAUUAAGUUGGUUAGAAAUCAAAUUUCAUGAUUUAUUCUAGUAUCAUGACUCAUGGUAUUGGUUUGAUGGGUUUAUCCAGUUGAUUCGAGUUUUUUUAUUUUUUUAAUUGAUUUUUUUUAAUUUCUUUACUCUAGAAAAAUAUUAAAUUAACUUGGGUUAACCUAAAUCAAUUAAGUAUAUUAUUGUUUUGAUAUUAUAUAUUUUUUUAAAAAAUUCUUAAAUAUUUAUGAAUUAAAUAAUAUUUUUACCAAUUCUUCAAAUUAUCUUCAAAUUCAUCCAAUUAAUUACAUCAUGUUGAAUGAACCUCCCCCACAGAAACAUGUUGAUAAUGAUAGCCACCCUAAUCAAUGUAACUAUUGCUGCACUCCAUUUUCGAACUCUGCUGUUGAUUUUUCAGCGUCCACAUUUUCCCUGGUCCCUUUUAGGGGCAAUUAAAGUGUAAUUAAAGUCUAAUAAUCGACUUGGUUUGCAGACUCUUUCCUCGGUAUUGCUUGCAAGAUGAACCGUGGAUCUCUGUUUUCCUUAUCUUCAAUCAACUAAAAUAAUUGAACCCGAAAGCAACGCGGAUUAGAACAUGCCACAACUUUAUUUUGAAAAUAUUUCGCAGGAUUGUGUGUUUUAUAAAUUAAAAAAAAACCAUCUUGUUUUUAAAGGUAUAUUUAAGAUUGUGAUAAUGAUAAUAGUUCAAAAUAUUUUUUAAAUUUUUUUAAAAAAAUAUUAUUUUUUAUAUUAGUAUAUCAAAACGAUUUAAAUAAAUAAAAAAAUUUAAAAUUUAAAAGAACACAUUGUACCGCAUUUUCAAAUACUCCUGAUUACAAACACAAGUCUUGUCUUGUCUUGUGUAGAGAUGAGAAGGGAUAGUUUAUUUUUGCCAUUAAAAAUAUAAAAAAUAUAAUUUUUUUUUAUUUUAAAUUAGUUUUUUUUAGUAAUUUGGGACGUUGGUAUAAAAAAUAAAAUUUAAAAAUAAAAAAAUAUUAUUAUUUUAAUUUAUUUUUAAAUAAAAAAACUUUAAAAAACUAAUAUCUCAGCGGUCUUUUCUAAUAUCCAACACAAAUCUAGCCUACUUGUCUUGUUUCUUUCUUCUUCUUUUUUUGCCAUUUGGUGAUUAAAAUAAUCAGGUCUUCUAGCUAGGUCGUUGAUAACUGACAAGGAGGACCUCAAACGAAAUGCCGUGUGUUUGCUCUGUCAACUGAAGUCUCCUUGAGAACUUCCACAGAAGUCUCCUCACGCAUGCUCUAACCUAACCCAUGCACUCCUAUAUAAACAGCAAGAACUGCCUCCCAGAUUUCCAUCUUCAAACAACUUGAGCAUUACUUUACUCCCUCCUCUGUUUCUUCAAAACCUCCCCAAAAGACCAAAACCCUCACUUUUGGUGUCUCCUGGACUGUAAAGAGCUCCUUAUUCAUAUCACCAUCUUUCCAACAACCAAGACCAUGAAGGUACGUAUGGUUUUGUGAUCAGAACACAAGUGUAUUACUAGCUUGUUCGUGAAGAUAUUAUGUGUGUUACUUUCAUGUUAUUGAUUAAUUGUGCUAAACUAUUGCAGCAAAAGAUAGUGAUCAUCAGGUGACGGGGAAGGGAGCGAAGUCCGGCACCAAAGCCCUGCAGAUUGCAGCUGGGCUUUCAGGUACUGAACAAAACCUUCCAUGCACACAAGUUUUAGAAUCGGAAUACCUAAUAGAAACCAUGCAUCUGUGGGCAAAUUCAGAUGAUCAAGUUGUUGACGGGUUUAUACAUCUUUUUGUGAUUCUGCAGGUGUUGAAUCUGCUGGUAUAGGAGGGCAGGAUAAGAGCCAGAUAGAGGUGGUAGGCGAUGGAGUCGAUGCAGUACAACUUACAAAUUUGCUGAGAAAGAAAGUAGGCUACGCAGAGCUAGCAAGUGUACAAGCUGUGGGAGAAAAGAAAGAAGAGCCAGCAGUGCAGCCGGUUGCUUGGUCCGUGUAUGGUGGAAGCAUGCCUGAGACCUUUAUUUAUCCGAUUCACCCCCAUCAGGACCCUUGUUGCUCCAUCAUGUAGUUACCAAACAGGCUAGCCAGAAGCAGAGAGAGAGAGAGACUGAAGAGGAGUCUGUUUAUUUAUAUAUAUUGUAGAACAUGUUGGGCCGCUGCUGUUCCAUGUCUGAAAGGGGGGGGGAUGGUGAGGGAAACUGGGAUCACAUAUGGACGUGCCACGUGUAAACAAGCUUCUUUGCCUGUAUCAACUUUUCAUUUAACAGGAGUGACAAAUCUGGAUGUUGGGUCAUGGGUGAACAAAAAACAUGGUGAUUCAGUCGUUAUUCAACACAAUAAUAUCAACUUUUGAACCAA
rnacentral:lncRNA from 1 species